GCAGUGGUAGAAUUCUCACCUUCCAUGUGGGAGAUCUGGGUUCAAUUCCCGGCCAAUGCA
rfam:Loxodonta africana unplaced genomic scaffold scaffold_67, whole genome shotgun sequence.